UACAGAGGGUGCAAGCGUUGUUCGGAAUUAUUGGGCGUAAAGCGCGCGCAGGCGGUCCUUUAAGUCUGAUGUGAAAGCCCACGGCUCAACCGUGGAGGGUCAUUGGAAACUGGGGGACUUGAGUACAGAAGAGGAAAGCGGAAUUCCACGUGUAGCGGUGAAAUGCGUAGAGAUGUGGAGGAACACCAGUGGCGAAGGCGCUUCUGGUCUGUAACUGACGCUGAGGCGCGAAAGCGUGGGGAGCAAACAGG
rnacentral:rRNA from 1 species